GUGGGGAAUAUUGGACAAUGGGCGAAAGCCUGAUCCAGCCAUGCCGCGUGCAGGAUGAAGGCCUUCGGGUUGUAAACUGCUUUUGUACGGAACGAAAAGACUCCUUCUAAUAAAGGGGGUCCAUGACGGUACCGUAAGAAUAAGCACCGGCUAACUACGUGCCAGCAGCCGCGGUAAUACGUAGGGUGCGAGCGUUAAUCGGAAUUACUGGGCGUAAAGCGUGCGCAGGCGGUUAUAUAAGACAGAUGUGAAAUCCCCGGGCUCAACCUGGGAACUGCAUUUGUGACUGUAUAGCUAGAGUACGGCAGAGGGGGAUGGAAUUCCGCGUGUAGCAGUGAAAUGCGUAGAUAUGCGGAGGAACACCGAUGGCGAAGGCAAUCCCCUGGGCCUGUACUGACGCUCAUGCACGAAAGCGUGGGGAGCAAACAGGAUUAGAUACCCGUGUAGUCC
rnacentral:rRNA from 1 species